GCCCAGACUCCUACGGGAGGCAGCAGUGGGGAAUAUUGCACAAUGGGGGGAACCCUGAUGCAGCGACGCCGCGUGGGUGAAGGAGUAUUUCGGUAUGUAAAGCCCUAUCAGCAGGGAAGAACAAUGACGGUACCGGACUAAGAAGCACCGGCUAAAUACGUGCCAGCAGCCGCGGUAAUACGUAGGGGGCAAGCGUUAUCCGGAUUUACUGGGUGUAAAGGGGGCGCAGACGGCAGCGCAAGCCAGGAGUGAAAGCCCGGGGCCCAACCCCGGGACUGCUCUUGGAACUGCGCGGCUGGAGUGCAGGAGGGGCAGGCGGAAUUCCUGGUGUAGCGGUGAAAUGCGUAGAUAUCAGGAGGAACACCGGUGGCGAAGGCGGCCUGCUGGACUGCGACUGACGUUGAGGCCCGAAAGCGUGGGGAGCAAACAGGAUUAGAUACCCGUGUA
rnacentral:rRNA from 1 species